UAAAUGUAACUGUCAUGCCAAAAGCAUGAGUUGGUGUUUGAUGUGUGUUUAUAUAUGUUAAGAGUCGUUUUUUUUUGUAAACCUUGGGAUGACAUUUAUUGUGGUCUUUGAUCUUGCACCAGGCCUAGACCAUAAAACAUCUAGAUAGCCAUCACCAGAGCUGGACACAAGGAAUUUCAUAGAGUGGGCAAUAGACUGCCAGACCAGCCCCCUCUG